GGGGUCGUAGCUCAGUGGUAGAGCAGCUGCCUUGCAUGCAGAUGGUCCCAGGUUCUAUGUCUGCCGUCUCAA